UCUAGAGACAUAGCAAAAGAUAUAAACCUUAAAAAGUCAAAACAAACGUAUAUAAUUUGGGACGGAGGGAGUAUUUUAUAUACCAUGCACAACAUCUUUUAAGGAAAAAAAGAAAGGUACAAUGGCACAAUUUCUACUCACGACAAAAUGGAGACAAUGCAAGUGCGUAUCAUAAAUAACCCAACGAAACCGGGCACCCCUGUACUAUUCCUGAACUUGCUCACAUAGCCCUCAACAGUGAUAAAGGUAGACAUUCUUAGGUGUGCAAUUAAAUGACGAAGUUAAGUGUAAGAAACAAACGAAUCCCCUGUAUGGUUGUCGUGAUCGAAAAUAUGCUACAGACACCAGGAAGACGAUCCACUCCCCCACUCUCCGAG
rnacentral:lncRNA from 1 species